rnacentral:rRNA from 1 species
AUUACCCAAUCCUAACUCAGGGAGGUAGUGACAAGAAAUAACAACGCGGGGCUCUGUCUCGCGAUUGGAAUGAGAACAAUGUAAAAGCCUUAACGAGGAUCCACUGGAGGGCAAGUCUGGUGCCAGCAGCCGCGGUAAUACCAGCUCCAGUAGCGUAUAUUAAAGUUGUUGCAGUUAAAAAGCUCGUAGUUGAAAUUCUGUACGGAACGACGUCUUCGGAUGAUCGAGCCGUGCAUCCGCCUGAGCAGCAGGUCGGUACUUUGUUGCCGGUUUGUGAUCAGGCACUUUACCUUGAGCAAAUUAGAGUGUUCCAGGCAGGCGUCAGCCUGAAUAGUCCAGCAUGGAAUAAUAGAAGAGGACUGAAAACCACUGUUGGUGUUGUGGUAAUCAGUAAUGAUUAAUAGGGAUAGUUGGGGGCAUUCGUAUUUAAUUGUCAGAGGUGAAAUUCUAUGAUUUAUUAAAGACGAACCUAUGCGAAAGCAUUUGCCAAGGAUGUUUUCAUUAAUCAAGAACGAAAGUUAAGGGAUCAAAGACGAUCAGAUACCGUCGUAGUCUUAACCAUAAACUAUGCCGACUAGAGAUUGGAGGUGCAACUCCAAGACUCCUUCAGCAUCUUACGAGAAAUCAAAGUCCUUGGGUUCUGGGGGGAGUAUGGUCGCAAGACUGAAACUUAAAGGAAUUGACGGAAGGGCACCACCAGGUGUGGAGCCUGCGGCUUAAUUUGACCCAACACGGGGAAACUUACCAGGUCCAGACAUAGCGAGGAUUGACAGACUGACAGCUCUUUCUUGAUUCUAUGGGUGGUGGUGCAUGGCCGUUCUUAGUUGGUGGAGUGAUUUGUCUGGUUAAUUCCGAUAACGAACGAGACCUCAGCCUGCUAAAUAGUCAGAGUCCGAUUGGGCUUGUGACUUCUUAGAGGGACUGUGGGGGCUACUCCACGGAAGUUUGAGGCAAUAACAGGUCUGUGAUGCCCUUAGAUGUCCUGGGCCGCACGCGCGCUACACUGAUGCAGGCAGCAAGCACCGUGGCAGAAAUGUCUCGGAAAACUACAAACUGCAUCGUGCUGGGGAUUGACUCUUGGAAUUCUUGGUCAUAAACGAGGAAUACCUAGUAAACGCAAGUCAUCAGCUUGCAUUGAUUACGUCCCUGCCCUUUGUACACACCGCCCGUCGCUCCUACCGAUUUGAGUGGUGCGGUGAACCCUUCGGACCGGUACGCCGGAAAGUUGAGUAAACCUUACCACUUAGAGGAAGGAGAAGUCGUAACAAGGUA